GAUGAAGAACGCAGCGAAAUGCGAUAAGUAAUGUGAAUUGCAGAAUUCAGUGAAUCAUCGAAUCUUUGAACGCACAUUGCGCCCGCUAGUAUUCUGGCGGGCAUGCCUGUCCGAGCGUCAUUUCAACCCUCAAGCCCCCGGGCUUGGUGUUGGGGAUCGGCGAGCCUCCGCGCCCGCCGUCCCCUAAAUCUAGUGGCGGUCUCGCUGUAGCUUCCUCUGCGUAGUAGCACACCUCGCACUGGGAAACAGCGCGGCCACGCCGUUAAACCCCCAACUUCUGAACGUUUGACCUCGGAUCAGGUAGGAAUACCCGCUGAACUUAAGCUUAUCAAUAAGCGGAGGA
rnacentral:misc_RNA from 1 species